GUACAGCAUGCUGUUGUCUCCAGACUCAAGGGCAGGCUCUGCAGCACCAGCAGUUCCCACAUGGAGUUUCUGCAGUUCUGCUCACCGUGACCUUCUGGGCCACCAGGAAAACACAAUGAGGUGCUGCCGGCCUGGUGCGAUGAGCCGUCACUGCCCAGGACUCGCACCAGGCUUCCUGGGACACUGAGCUGCCGCUUGGGAUCCCGACCGCCUCUGAUUCCUCACUGUGCUGCUGGCAGGGUGGGACUGACGUGCAGUUUGGGGCACUGGGCAGAGCCAAGCCCGUCACCAUCCUCUGUGCCCUUGGCAGACUGGGGGACCAAGCUGGACCCUUCUCUCUAAAGGGGCUCCACGUGAGCAAGGGACCGGCUUGGGGCUGUCCAUAUUCACUCUGGUGGGAAGAGCCACCUCCUUCACCCUUUCCACCUGGGAACUGCGUCACUGCUGGGGAUGGUACCCCAUGGGUGCAGGGUGAGGCCAGCAGCCUGGCAGCAAGGCACUAGCUGAGCCUGAGCACAUCGCAGGGCAGAGCAGCCCCAGCACGGCCGCGCUGCAGGGAUGUAGGGGCCGGGCGCAGGAGGGUCCCGGCAGCGAUGGGCCGGCUGGACGACCAUGCCAAGAGGAGGAUCGUGGAGCUGCGCAGGGCUGGGCUGAGCUUCCGCAAGAUCAAGAAGGUGCUGGAGCUGGAUGACAUCCGGGUGACGCCACAGGCCGUGUACCUCUUCCUCAAGAGGAAGAGCGUGGAGCCAGGGUCAGUGGCAGCUGGCUGGGAUGGGGAGCAGCCCUGGCCUCCACUGCAGGGGCACGAGGCUGAGCCCCCCAGGCUGCUGGGCACCCGGCACCCUGCCCUGCCCACCGGGGAUCCUGUGGGCAGCCAGGCACCCCGCUCUGCUGGCAGCCAGGACACCAAGGAGAGCAUCCGCAUUGUUGGCGUGGCCUCACUCUGCGAGGACAGUGGGCGGCCUGGGGACACUCUGCCUGUGGGGCUGGCCCCUGGGAAUGGUGAUGAUAGCUCCACAGGCACAGCCCUGGCUCCAGGGACUGCUCUGGGGAGCCUGGCCCCCCUGCCCCAGCCACUGCCCAGCCGAGGGCAGCUGAUCACACCCCCCACCCAGAACUCAGCCCUGAUGGUGAAAAAGAAGAUUGUGGACAGAGCUAUCCUCUUGCAGAAAAAGGUCAAAGAUGUCAGCACUCAGACUGUCUUGCCAAAUCCCAUGGGUCCAGGAAAUAACAGCCUUGCUUGGGGAGGAGCAGUGCCCACCCCUGCUCCCAGCUCUCCAGCCAUGGCUGAGAAGCUGGACGCUGUGCAGAUGGAGGUGCAGAAGCUGAGGCAGGCCCUGCAGGCGGUGCUGGAGCGGCAGUGCCACCUGGAGCGCCAGCAGGAGCAGCAGCAGCGGCUGCAGCAGGAGGUGCUGAUGACGCUGCAGCAGCUCAGCUCCACCGUGAGCCACGGCGCCGUGCCAGCCACCCAGCCCUGCGGCCCCUUCGGCAGCAUGGGCGAGCCCUCACCCACCAUGCCAAACUUCAGCCAGUUCAAGAUGGAGCUGAUCUGA
rnacentral:lncRNA from 12 species